rnacentral:rRNA from 1 species
AUUGAACGCUGGCGGCAGGCCUAACACAUGCAAGUCGAACGGUAACAGGAAGAAGCUUGCUUCUUUGCUGACGAGUGGCGGACGGGUGAGUAAUGUCUGGGAAACUGCCUGAUGGAGGGGGAUAACUACUGGAAACGGUAGCUAAUACCGCAUAACGUCGCAAGACCAAAGAGGGGGACCUUCGGGCCUCUUGCCAUCGGAUGUGCCCAGAUGGGAUUAGCUAGUAGGUGGGGUAACGGCUCACCUAGGCGACGAUCCCUAGCUGGUCUGAGAGGAUGACCAGCCACACUGGAACUGAGACACGGUCCAGACUCCUACGGGAGGCAGCAGUGGGGAAUAUUGCACAAUGGGCGCAAGCCUGAUGCAGCCAUGCCGCGUGUAUGAAGAAGGCCUUCGGGUUGUAAAGUACUUUCAGCGGGGAGGAAGGGAGUAAAGUUAAUACCUUUACUCAUUGACGUUACCCGCAGAAGGAGCACCGGCUAACUCCGUG